rnacentral:rRNA from 2 species
GAUGAACGCCGGCGGUGUGCCUAAUACAUGCAAGUCGUACGCACUGGCCCAACUGAUUGAUGGUGCUUGCACCUGAUUGACGAUGGAUCACCAGUGAGUGGCGGACGGGUGAGUAACACGUAGGUAACCUGCCCCGGAGCGGGGGAUAACAUUUGGAAACAGAUGCUAAUACCGCAUAACAACAAAAGCCACAUGGCUUUUGUUUGAAAGAUGGCUUUGGCUAUCACUCUGGGAUGGACCUGCGGUGCAUUAGCUAGUUGGUAAGGUAACGGCUUACCAAGGCGAUGAUGCAUAGCCGAGUUGAGAGACUGAUCGGCCACAAUGGAACUGAGACACGGUCCAUACUCCUACGGGAGGCAGCAGUAGGGAAUCUUCCACAAUGGGCGCAAGCCUGAUGGAGCAACACCGCGUGAGUGAAGAAGGGUUUCGGCUCGUAAAGCUCUGUUGUUGGAGAAGAACGUGCGUGAGAGUAACUGUUCACGCAGUGACGGUAUCCAACCAGAAAGUCACGGCUAACUACGUGCCAGCAGCCGCGGUAAUACGUAGGUGGCAAGCGUUAUCCGGAUUUAUUGGGCGUAAAGCGAGCGCAGGCGGUUGCUUAGGUCUGAUGUGAAAGCCUUCGGCUUAACCGAAGAAGUGCAUCGGAAACCGGGCGACUUGAGUGCAGAAGAGGACAGUGGAACUCCAUGUGUAGCGGUGGAAUGCGUAGAUAUAUGGAAGAACACCAGUGGCGAAGGCGGCUGUCUGGUCUGCAACUGACGCUGAGGCUCGAAAGCAUGGGUAGCGAACAGGAUUAGAUACCCUGGUAGUCCAUGCCGUAAACGAUGAGUGCUAGGUGUUGGAGGGUUUCCGCCCUUCAGUGCCGGAGCUAACGCAUUAAGCACUCCGCCUGGGGAGUACGACCGCAAGGUUGAAACUCAAAGGAAUUGACGGGGGCCCGCACAAGCGGUGGAGCAUGUGGUUUAAUUCGAAGCUACGCGAAGAACCUUACCAGGUCUUGACAUCUUGCGCUAACCUUAGAGAUAAGGCGUUCCCUUCGGGGACGCAAUGACAGGUGGUGCAUGGUCGUCGUCAGCUCGUGUCGUGAGAUGUUGGGUUAAGUCCCGCAACGAGCGCAACCCUUGUUACUAGUUGCCAGCAUUAAGUUGGGCACUCUAGUGAGACUGCCGGUGACAAACCGGAGGAAGGUGGGGACGACGUCAGAUCAUCAUGCCCCUUAUGACCUGGGCUACACACGUGCUACAAUGGACGGUACAACGAGUCGCAAGCUCGCGAGAGUAAGCUAAUCUCUUAAAGCCGUUCUCAGUUCGGACUGUAGGCUGCAACUCGCCUACACGAAGUCGGAAUCGCUAGUAAUCGCGGAUCAGCAUGCCGCGG